UAUUAGAAAAUGUUAAAAUUGAUAAGUUGCACAACCUUUCAGUUGGGAAAUCCUUUAAGCCGAAAAACAGUUAUGGUAUAAUCAUUUUUUUUUGAAAGCAAGCAAGGAGGAAGUGAGGAAAUUCCCCCUUGCGUAGAAUAUUGUAUUAAAAUAUUUAAAAGUUGAUGAUACAGACUAGAAGGUGAAAUAAGUUGACUGGGAUAGGCUCUGUACCAGUG
rnacentral:lncRNA from 1 species